GCAUGUGUUAAGCAAAUUCAAAUGUUAAAACAUCCACUGGGGGCACCAGAAAACUUCCUUUUUAGGUUGCCGGGUGA
rnacentral:tRNA from 1 species